UGUGAGGCUUUCAUUCUGGUGAGCAAAGGUGAGGUUCGGGGAGAGAUCAACUCUAUACACACCAAAGUGCAGUAUUUUUGUUUCAGCAGCUCUACGAGAAUUAUGUACUGAACACAAGGAUACCCAAAGGGAAAGUGAAACAAUUCUACUGGGUAGCCUUUAUGUUCAGUGUAUGAACGCCAUGUGAACUGUCUAGAAGAAAAACCCCUGGAUACUUAAGUGGUACUUAUCCCUUAAGUUUGGGAAGAAACAUGUAGAAAGAUAGAGCCAGAAUGAACCUGUAAACUCAUCUUGCCAGUGUGCACGUGACGAAAACCAAUCUGGGUGGUGGCUGAGAUACUGCAACUAGGGCCGGAACGUCCUUGACCUGAAGCCUGCCCUCUGGAGACUAACUUCCAAGUUCUUUCCUCUGGAGGGUAUCCUUAGGUUUGGUUUAUGUAAGUAAAACAUCAACUC
rnacentral:lncRNA from 1 species